CAUCGAGCAGCAGUUGGGCUCUCUGAUCUUGGCCACAGACAUCAACAGGCAGAAUGAGUUUUUGAUCCGUCUGAAGUCUCACCUUGACAAUCAGGAUUUGAGGCUGGAGGAUGCGCAAGACAGACAUUUUAUGCUUCAGAUUGCACUCAAGUGCGCUGACAUUUGCAACCCUUGCCGGCUCUGGGAUCUGAGCAAACAGUGGAGCGAACGGGUCUGCGAAGAGUUUUACCGGCAAGGUGACCUGGAACAAAAAUUUGAACUGGAAAUAAGCCCCCUUUGUAAUCAGCAGAAGGAUACAAUACCAAGCAUACAGAUCGG